AUAACCAUCCACUUUAACCUUGUUGGUUAAAGCUGGGAAGUUGGGGGUUUUGUUGCUAGUCAUUUCUGUAUCAGAUGGACUUGCUCCCCUUAAAUUGAUUAGUGAAAGAGAACCAAGCAUAUAGGGAAACAAGCUUGAAAGGGGUUGAUGUGAUAGAUUUAACUUUUCUAAUUGACCUCUGAAGUGUACUCCUGUUGACAUGCAAUAACAAAAGCUUCUCUUCUGCUUUCAAACUGCAUUUUUGAAUGCUAUUUUUGA
rnacentral:misc_RNA from 1 species